GUAGUCUCGCACAGAUGCAUAUCAAUAAGCGGAGGAAAAGAAACUAACAAGGAUUCCCCUAGUAACGGCGAGUGAAGCGGGAAGAGCUCAAAUUUGAAAUCUUAAAGGGUUUCCCUUUACGAAUUGUAGUUUAAAGAAGUGUUUUCUGUUGAGGUUUUGGUAAAAGUUCUUUGGAAUAGGACAUCAUAGAGGGUGAGAAUCCCGUAUUUGACCUUUACUUUCAACUUUGUGAUACACUUUCAAAGAGUCGGAUUGUUUGGGAAUGCAGUCCAAAAUGGGUGGUAAAUUUCAUCUAAAGCUAAAUAUUGGCGAGAGACCGAUAGCGAACAAGUACCGUGAGGGAAAGAUGAAAAGGAACUUUGAAAAGAGAGUUAAACAGUACGUGAAAUUGUCAAAAGGGAAGCGUUUGACACCAGUGUUGUUUUUCUGAAAAUCAAUUAAAGAACUGUUUAUGCUAAGCUGUUUAGACUUUAUCAGCUAUCUGUUUAGUUUUGAGCUUUUCUUUAAUGCACUUUUCAGUUAACAAGUCAACAUCAAUUUCUUUUGCUGUAAAAAAGCUUGAGGAAGGUGGCUUGAGAUUCGUCUUAAGUGUUUAUAGCCUCUUGCCUAUGCAGUCGGAGAGAUUGAGGUCUGCAGCGUAGAUCCUUCGGGGCUAAAUGCAUUUGUGCUAAGUUAUAGCAUUUUAUAGACAACUUGUUGACUAUGAUUUGUCUUGUAGCUUACUCGCUUAUGUUAUUUUACCUACGCUUAGGAUGUUGACAGCAGUAUAGACUGU
rnacentral:rRNA from 1 species